UCAAACAACAGAGGAAACACAUCUUGGACACGCACAGUGUUUUUGUUUCGUUUCUUUCAAACCGCGGAGGUGCAUAAACUGAUCUGUGACUGGACUAAGGAUGGAAGGGAGUAGUGAUGUGAUUUAGAUCCUGAGUCCACACUCCAGAUCAGUGGGUGGCGGUAAUGCACCCGAAAGCUGUUUGCCAACCGCCAGUAAAAACAAAAAAG